rnacentral:rRNA from 1 species
GACGAACGCUGGCGGCGUGCCUAAUACAUGCAAGUUGAGCGCUGAAGGUUGGUACUUGUACCGACUGGAUGAGCAGCGAACGGGUGAGUAACGCGUGGGGAAUCUGCCUUUGAGCGGGGGACAACAUUUGGAAACGAAUGCUAAUACAGCAUAAAAACUUUAAACACAAGUUUUAAGUUUGAAAGAUGCAAUUGCAUCACUCAAAGAUGAUCCCGCGUUGUAUUAGCUAGUUGGUGAGGUAAAGGCUCACCAAGGCGAUGAUACAUAGCCGACCUGAGAGGGUGAUCGGCCACAUUGGGACUGGGACACGGCCCAAACCCCUUCGGGAGGCCACAGUAGGGAAUUUUCGGCAAUGGGCGAAAGUCUGACCGAACAACGCCGGGGGAGGGAAGAAGGUUUUCGGAUCGUAAAACUCUGUUGGUAGAGAAGAACGUUGGUGAGAGUGGAAAGCUCAUCUAGUGACGGUAACUACCCAGAAAGGGACGGCUAACUACGUG